CCCUUAGAUGUCCGGGGCUGCACGCGCGCUACACUGUAGAAAGCAGCGUGCUUUAAAACCUUUCCUGAAAAGGAUGGGUAACCCCAGCAGAAUUCUACGUGCUUGGGAUAGAGAUUUGCAAUUUUCUCUCUUGAACGAGGAAUUCCCAGUAAGUGCGAGUCAUCAGCUCGCGUUGAUUACGUCCCUGCCCUUUGUACACACCGCCCGUCGCUACUACCGAUUGGGAAAAUUUUAGAGAGUCCUGGACUGAUGAUUGUUCGGCUUCACGGCCUUACUUUCGUCGGGAAAGAAUUCGAUAAUAUUUUUCUAGAGGAAGUAAAAGUCGUAACA
rnacentral:rRNA from 1 species